AUUGAACGCUGGCGGCAGGCUUAACACAUGCAAGUCGAGCGGAGAUGAGGUGCUUGCACCUUAUCUUAGCGGCGGACGGGUGAGUAAUGCUUAGGAAUCUGCCUAUUAGUGGGGGACAACAUUCCGAAAGGAAUGCUAAUACCGCAUACGUCCUACGGGAGAAAGCAGGGGAUCUUCGGACCUUGCGCUAAUAGAUGAGCCUAAGUCGGAUUAGCUAGUUGGUGGGGUAAAGGCCUACCAAGGCGACGAUCUGUAGCGGGUCUGAGAGGAUGAUCCGCCACACUGGGACUGAGACACGGCCCAGACUCCUACCGGAGGCAGCAGUGGGGAAUAUUGGACAAUGGGGGGGACCCUGAUCCAGCCAUGCCGCGUGUGUGAAGAAGGCCUUAUGGUUGUAAAGCACUUUAAGCGAGGAGGAGGCUACUGAGACUAAUACUCUUGGAUAGUGGACGUUACUCGCAGAAUAAGCACCGGCUAACUCUGUGCCAGCCGCCGCGGUAAGAC
rnacentral:rRNA from 1 species